rnacentral:tRNA from 1 species
CAAUAUAGCAAAAUAUUUGUAUUAAAUUUAGACUUUAAAGAUGAGAAUACUCUAUUG